GACGAGCGUGGCGGCGUGGAUUAGGCAUGCAAGUCGAACGGUAUCAUCUUCGGGGUGAGAGAGUGGCGAACUGGUGAGUAACACGUAGGUUAUCUACCUCAAGACGGGGACAACCCAGGGAAACUUGGGCUAAUACCGGAUGUGAGCAACUUUUAGUUGUUUGAAAGGUGGCGUAAGCUGUCGCUUGGGGAUGAGCCUGCGUCCUAUUAGUUAGUUGGUGAGGUAACGGCUCACCUAGGCAAUGAUAGGUAGGCGGCCUUAACGGGUGGUCGCCCACACUGGGAUUGAGAUACGGCCCAGACUCCUACGGGAGGCAGCAGUCGAGAAUAGUCUACAAUGGUCGGAAGACUGAUAGUGCGACGCCGCGUGAACGAUGAAUCCCUUCGGGGUGUAAAGUUCUUUUAUAUGUGAGCAGUGCUUCUUAUAUUAACAGUAUGGGGAGAGAGAUAUUAGCAUAUGAAUAAGCAACGGCUAACUCCGUG
rnacentral:rRNA from 1 species